UACGUAGGGCGCGAGCGUUGUCCGGAUUUAUUGGGCGUAAAGAGCUCGUAGGCGGUGUGUCACGUCGUUCGUGAAAACCUGCAGCUUAACUGUGGGCGUGCGGUCGAUACGGGCAUCACUGGAGUUCGGCAGGGGAGACUGGAAUUCCUGGUGUAGCGGUGAAAUGCGCAGAUAUCAGGAGGAACACCGGUGGCGAAGGCGGGUCUCUGGGCCGAUACUGACGCUGGAGGCACGAAGGCUAGGGGAGCAAACGGG
rnacentral:rRNA from 1 species